GACGAACGCUGGCGGCGUGCUUAACACAUGCAAGUCGAACGGAAAGGCCCUGCUUGUGCGGGGUGCUCGAGUGGCGAACGGGUGAGUAACACGUGAGUAACCCGCCCUUGACUUGGGGGUAACUCCAGGAAACUGGGGCUAAUACCGACUAGGAGCUCCUGCUGCAUGGUGGGGGUUGGAAAGCGCCGGCGGUGGGGGAUCGACGGGGGGGUUAUGAGCUUGUUGGUGGGGUAGUGGCUUACCAAGGCAUUGACGGAUAGCCGGCCUGAGAGGGUGACCAGCCACAUGGCGCCUACGGGACGCCGCAGUGGCCAAUGGUGGGCAGCAGUGGGGAAUAUUGCCCAGUGGGGGGGAGCCUGAUACGGCAGCGCUGGGUGUGUGAUCACGGCCUGCGCGUUGUGAACCGCUUUCGCCUGUUACGCAGCGUGAGUGACGGUAACGGGUAAAGAAGCACCGGCUAACUACGUG
rnacentral:rRNA from 1 species